rnacentral:lncRNA from 1 species
CUAUAAAUAUUAAUCAAGUAGAACCUGUAAAUAAAAUAUUACUUAGAUUUUGUACAGGAGCAAUGUCUUUUGGUUCUUUAUCAGAAGAGGCACAUACAACAGUUGCUACUGCAAUGAAUAGAAUGGGAUUAAAGUCUAAUACAGGGGAAGGAGGAGAAGCAGAAGAUCGUAUUUUAUCUGAUAAAACAACAGGAAUAAAUACAAGUUCAGCUAUUAAACAAAUUGCAUCUGCUAGAUUUUGUGUUACUGCUUAUAGUAUGGUGAAUGCAAAAGAAUUACAAAUUAAAGUAGCACAAGGAUCAAAACCAGGAGAAGGAGGAGAAUUACCAGGAUAUAAAGUUAGUGCAAAAAUAGCUUCUAUUAGAAGAAGUACACCUGGUGUAGGUUUAAUAUCACCACCACCACAUCACGAUAUGUAUUCUAUUGAAGAUGUAGGUCAGUUAGUAUAUGAUUUAAAAAAUAUAAAUAAAGAAGCAAAAAUAUCUGUUAAAUUAGUAUCAAAGUUAGGUAUAGGUGUAAUAACAUGUGGUGUAGUAAAAGGUAAUUGUGAACAAAUACUUAUAAGUGGUAUGUCUGGAGGUACAGGUGCAUCCAAAUGGACAUCUAUAAAACAUGCAGGUUUACCUUGGGAAAUAGGACUUGCUGAAGCGCAUCAGACAUUAUGUAAAUCAAAAUUAAGAAAAANNNNNNNNNNAAAAAAAAACAAUCAGCAUGAAUAUACAACAAACACAUAUUCUCAAAAAUUAUCAUCCCUAAAUAAACACGAUUUAAUUAAAAAAUAUCAAUUAAAAAAAAAUGUUGAAGAAUAUGUUGAUAUACCCUUUACUGAAAGAAUAUAUAAAGCAGAUGUAGUCAUCUUAGCUUUAGGUUUUAUAAAAACAGAUGAUUCUAUAUGGUUAAAUGAUAAUAUAAAAUUAGAGUUGGAUAAUUAUAAUUGUAUAAAAACAAACCAAAGUAUUUAUCAAACAAAUCAUAAACAAAUAUUUGCGUGUGGUGAUUGUAGAAUUGGACCUAGUAAUGUUGUACAAGCAAUUGUCGAAGGAAGAAAUGCUGCAUCAAAGAUAGAUGCAUACUUAUCUAACUCUUAUUCGAUUUUGCCUGUAUGUAAUACAUAUAAUAGUUACCCUAAAAAUUAUAUAAACUUUCCUGGUAAAAUCAAUAAUUGGGGGUAGUACAAUAUAUAUAUAUAUAUAUAUAUACUACACCACAUCUAACAUAAAUAAUUUAUUUACCAUUAAUUAAUUUUACAAUUCAUUAACCAUUAAAAUUCAUAAUUUAGUUAUUUAUUUAUUUAUUUAUUUAUUUGUUUGUUUGUUUUUUUUUUUUUUUUUUUUUUUUUUUUUUU